rnacentral:rRNA from 1 species
CAGAGGGGGACUGAGACACGGCCCCCACUCCUACGGGAGGCAGCAGCUAAGAAUAUUGCACAAUGGACGAAAGUCUGAUGCAGCGACACCGCGUGAGGGAUGACAGCUUUAGGGUUGUAAACCUCUUUUAUUAGGGAAUAGCAAGGAAGGUACCUAAUGAAUAAGCUACGGCUAACUACGUGCCAGCAGCCGCGGUAAUACGUAGGUAGCGAACGUUGUCCGGAAUCACUGGGCGUAAAGGGUCCGUAGGCGGUUUAAUAAGUCUCAUAUGAAAGCUCCAAGCUCAACUUGGAGAUGUUGUGAGAUACUGUUAGACUUGAGGCUGUUAGAGGCAAGUGGAAUUCCAGGUGUAGUGGUGAAAUGCGUAGAUAUCUGGAGGAACACCAGUGGCGAAAGCGACUUGCUGGGACAGUUCUGACGCUAAGGGACGAAAGCGUGGGGAGCAAACCGGAUUAGAUACCCGGGUAGUCCACGCUGUAAACGAUGAUUGCUAGGUUUUCGAGGCAUCGACCCCUCGUGAGCCGAAGUUAACGCGUUAAGCAAUCCGCCUGAGUAGUACGGCCGCAAGGCUAAAACUCAAAGAAAUUGACGGGGGACCGCACAAGCAGCGGAGCGUGUGGUUUAAUUCGAUGGUAAGCGAAGAACCUUACCUGGGUUUGACAUGUAAGUAGUACUGAACCGAAAGGGGAAGGACCCGCAAGGGAGCUUACACAGGUGUUGCAUGGUUGUCGUCAGCUCGUGCCGUGAGGUGUUGGGUUAAGUCCCGCAACGAGCGCAACCCUCUUCGUUAGUUACACUCUCUAACGAUACUGCCCCUAAAAGGGAGGAAGGUGGGGAUGACGUCAAAUCAUCAUGGCUCUUACACCCAGGGCUACACACACGCUACAAUGGCAAGUACAAACGGUCGCCAACCCGCGAGGGGGAGCCAAUCCGAUAAAACUUGUCUCAGUUGGGAUUGCAGGCUGAAAUUCGCCUGCAUGAACGUGGAGUUGCUAGUAAACGCAGGUCAGCAUACUGCGUUGAAUACGUUCCCGGUCCUUGUACACACCGCCCGUCACGUCAUGGAAGUUGGUAACACUUGAA